rnacentral:lncRNA from 1 species
CCUCCUUGAGGCUGGGAGGUAGCAAAACAGAGACUCUUCGAAGAUCCUUAGGCGGUUGGUUGAGCAAAUGUCCUAAAACUUCCUAAUAUACAGAUGUGCAAACCCCUGCUUAUGAAGUGCUACUGAGCCUCCUCGCGACUUCUGUAUGUUUAAAUCUUCUCUACUUAUGACAGAAGAGAUGCCACUGGUGAUCUUGACAGUGGCUCCAGGAGGUGGGGACAAAUGCUGAAUUGGGUAUGCUGCCCCAACCCUUGUGCUUGCUGUAAAGGGGAGUAGAGACCCAGGUAAGUAGAGUGUCUUGUCUGGAGUGGCUGGGUCACAAACAGCAGGGCAGGACUGUUGCUCUCCUGUGUCUGUGUCUUGCCCUCCCUUCCCAAAUGCUGCUUGGCCUACAGGCUAUGUAAAGGCCAAUGGAACAUGGAAGUGUGUGGCUAAUGGCACCUUACAGAGUACAUUACAUAAAGAGAAAGGUGAGUGAGUGAAUUAUACAGAAGGCCCAUGAACUAGAGAGUAUGGCUCUGAUUUCUGAAGAUUCACAGGGGUUGGGGGCCUCAGUCCUCCCCAGCUGAGGACAUGCUACUUCAUUUAACAGAGGACUCUCUUGCUGUCUGUUGUGUCCCUGUAGGCAUUAAUAUCCCAGGAUGAGAGGUGGGAGGUGUCCUGGGGAAUCUGUCUCUUACAUACUCACACUUCAAGUUUUCCAGCCCGUAAGCAGGAAAUCACACGAGCAAGGCUAGUUUAGUGAAGGUUAGUUCAGCUCUAACCUAGUUUAUUUCAAAACGGCAGAGGUCAUGACAGAUAGGAAAGCAGCAUGUGUGUGUGGACACAUCCACACCCCACUGUGGCAUCAGGGGACACAUCCCCGGACCUUCCCUGGGAAUGUUUUGUUUUUUUUUUUCCGUAUAGCUCGUUGAUAUCUCAUGACUGCAGCUGGGGGCUUCUGGCUGCACUGUCUUCUGGUCCAGCAUCCUGCAAUCCACUCUAGUUGAUGGAGUACACCUUGUUUGCAUCAUAAUAGGCAUGGGUCAUAUAAGAAAAGUCUUUCAUGGGCCAGUAGUUCUUAGAGUGGUAAAUGGCAGGGUAAGCAGGGGGCUUGUGUUCCACACAGCUGAAGAUCGCCAGGCUCUGGUCCUUGGCCACAGUAGGCAGGUAGAGCCUCAGCUUGUCCAGAAGGUGACCGGGCCAGAAGUGAUUGGGAUGGGUGUCUGAGGGGCUUAACCUCUGCAACUUCAGCUUCCUGGAAAAGGAAAAGGCAUAGGGAAGGUUGCUGUGGCAGAGGGACCAGGCCCAGGGCUCCUUCUCAGCAGAGAACAUAAGCCGUGACCACUCUGUCCAGUGUGAAAAGCACUCAACUCCUCCAGUCUCCUCACUAGUGAGGACCUGGAGAGCCAGAAAUCGAGAUCAUACAGUGAAUGAGUGGCUAAGUGCCUAGGCACUGCUUCUUAAACCCAAACUUAAGACGUGUGCCAUCCUAGCUCUGGAGUCCUGGCUCUCCACCUUCCUAACGCUGCAACCCUUUGACUCUUUAAGACAGUUGAUGUUGUGGUGACUCCCCAACCAUAAAAUUAUUUUUGUUCCCAAUUCAUAACUGUAAUUUUGCUACUGUUAGGAAUUGUAUGUAAAUAUCUAUUUUCCAAUGAUCUUAGGCGACCCCUGUGAAAAGGAUGUUCAACUCUCAAAGGGGUCACGCCUCACAAUUUGAGAACCACUGUUCUAGAGGACUCGUUCCGUCCCUCCCCCACCCCCACUUGGCCUGGUCCUUUUGGUGCUGGGGAUAGAAUCCAGAGCCUCACGUGCUCUAGGCUAAUACCCAGCUGCUAAGCUACAGCCCAGCCCCACGGAGGCAUUUGGAUUUUGGGUCUGGUAUCUAGUUCCUGGGGCCAGCCUCACUUAGCUAUGCUUCAGAAUGUGGGACUGUGUGUCAGGGUCGUCUCCUAUAAGCCAUAUGUCUAGAGUAGCUCAGGCUUGUUGGUGACAAUAUAGUUGAGUUCGCUCCUGGGAGGCUCCAGAGCAGCCAUGCCAGGCGCUCUCUGAACACUCUUCUGUUGCCCCUUAGGCCCUGGGCAGGAGCCCCAUGACAAUGCUGGGAUUUUGUUCAAUAUGCAUAGGUCCCAGAGCUGCCUCUGAGUAGAGGAGAGGCCGGCCCUCCCGUCCUCAUCCCCUGCCCUCCCAGCAGACACGCAGUACCACUACAAACCCAGUUAAUUCCUCGAAAUCGUCAAAGUGCAUUUUCUUCAUUUUCUUUGAUGUCUUCCUACCAGGGAGUAGAGAGAGGUAUCGUUAGGAAAGAGAAACUCCAGGAACCGGG